CUUCUCUUCCACCUAUGCAGUUGCUGCCUUCCUUCUGGUCCUUGAGUGCGCGGCCGCUUCUCUUAAGCAUACGUUCUUCCCAGGUCUGUAGACCAAGUGAAAGCAAGGAGCGCUUUCUGAAAGAAAAGUUGCGCGGGGGAAGAAAGCGAAACUUCUUGCGUGCAAAGGGAGACUUCCUUUCCGCGAUUCCGCUUGUCCACAGGCCAUUGGAACAUGACAAAUGUUUGCAAACCGCCCAAAAAACGUCCUGAGGACUUUAUGGGCACAAAUUGAAAAUUCUUUGGCCCAACAUUGGCAGUUAGAGCUACUGGCGAUUCAGAACUUUGCAGCAUUGGGGCUUCCAGGUUGUAGCCUCCUACAGGCUUUUGCUCUUAUAGGGCUGUGGCCAAGCUAGCUGUCAAGGCCUGAGGAAACUUCCAAAGUCUGGAGUCAAUGUCUCUACAGCACUGGAAAGAGGAUGAAGGGGGCAGGUAUGUGCCUUGGAAGAUGUAUGUCCAGAAAAGUAAAUAAGCCAAUCAUACAGCAAGAGCAAAGGAUAGCCAAUAAAGAGACUUUAUGCUAUCAAGAGACAUAGAGGCGAAAAAAAAAACCAAUCCCAGUAUGUUGAAUGGAAUUUCUGAAAGGGAUUUAAUGGAGGACAUGGCCAAGAGUCACAGAGGAUGAAAAACUGUGAUCUGCAUCAUCUGAGGGAAUAUCUACAUAUAGAUCCUUUGAAGUAUUAUUAUUAUUAUUAUCAUUGAUAAUAAUAGCAAUCCAACUAAAAUAUCCUUACUAUUUUUUCCUUAUUAUCUAGGAGGUCACCACUGGUCAUUCUCUUGAGUAUAAAAGCAAAUUAAAAAUCCUUCUAAUCACCAUUCCUUUGAGAAAAUCUGAGACGUUUGUUCUAAUGUCAAACUGCUCCCUGCUAUUUUAAAGAAAUUUGCAAUCAGUCAUAGAAUCAAAGCUUUAUGAAAAUUAUUCAAAG